rnacentral:tRNA from 1 species
GUGGAAAAUGGCUCACCUGGUUGAGCGUUCGCAUCGUUAGCGAAAGGUGCAGGGUUCGAUCCCCCGCGUCGACG